rnacentral:lncRNA from 1 species
GCUUUUGGAUUUAGCUGUAACUCGGCAAUCCACUCGGACUCCCCUCUCUGCUGUGGAGCAUUUCUUCUCUCUCUUAUUAAACUUUUGCUCCACCCCCACCCUUGUGUCCAUGCUCAAUUUUCUUGGACGCAGGACAAAGAAGCCAGGUACUAGUUCAGAGAACAAGAAACUGCUACAUUAUGGUGCAUUGGCAAAACUACAACAUAUUUAGGUGCAGGAAGAAGGGAUCAUCAGAAGGAGUCAAGGAAACUUUCUUUCAAAUUAGCUAGAGCUUUUAACAACUAAGUAAGGUAUACUCCUGUGAACAAAAUUUGGAACAUGUUUGUUUCUCUCUGCCUGGUUUCUCUAGAAUUCAGAAACUGGUUAGUCAAGUUCGACUUGCAGAGCCAGUAAAAGCCUCCUGGAAAACCGGCCUCAUACCUUGUCUACACAGCCCCUGUACAGGGUUCCUAACCUGUGAGGCCAUCAAGCUCCAAAUGGUAAAGUAAAUGGAACCACACAUUAAACGCACCUUUUUUCUGAGGACCCUUAAACCAGCCUCGGGAGGAAUCCUAGCUGCUGUUCCUCACACAAUGCUCCUCUCCAGCAAGAAAUAGCCAGAAAGAUCAAUGCCCAAUCUCCCUAACAGCAGUUAGAGUUCCCACUUCUGAAGUGGGGAAUGAGGGUGAGGGAAAAGAAAAAAUCAGUUGGGGCAAACUUACAGUGUAGAAGCGGUCUGCCUGAAAAGUCACAGCAAUGGGCAAAAACAAAACAAUCUGGGACAAAAACUCAGGCUGCACCUGCACACAGAGAAGCAGACAGCGUCCAGAAAAGAAGCCGUUUGUUCUUCGUAUAAUUAGCAAGCUCCCAGGAAAAAGUUUCCUCCCCUUUUGAGGCAUAUACAUGGUGGGCUCCACAGAAACUUGCACAGGGAAGACGGGGGCUUACCUAAAACAAACCCACAGUUAUACAGAAAAGAGAAGUGGCGCUUUGUGCUUGCCUAGAGACAUACCCACAGCUGCAUAAGAUAAGGGGAGUUGCACAGACAGCUUUACUGAUAGGAGAAGUUACUCAAACUGCUACAGAGAUGAGAAGAGUUUCUUAUAAAAGCUUCUGGAGUCAGCUGUAACUCGGCAAUCCACUCGGACUCCCCUCUCCGCUGCGAAGUGCUUUCUUUCGCUUAUUAAACUUUCACUCCACCCCCA